GAUGAACGCUGGCGGCGUGCCUAAUACAUGCAAGUCGAGCGAACAGACGAGGAGCUUGCUCCUCUGACGUUAGCGGCGGACGGGUGAGUAACACGUGGAUAACCUACCUAUAAGACUGGGAUAACUUCGGGAAACCGGAGCUAAUACCGGAUAAUAUAUUGAACCGCAUGGUUCAAUAGUGAAAGACGGUUUUGCUGUCACUUAUAGAUGGAUCCGCGCCGCAUUAGCUAGUUGGUAAGGUAACGGCUUACCAAGGCAACGAUGCGUAGCCGACCUGAGAGGGUGGUCGGCCACACUGGAACUGAGACACGGUCCAGACUCCUACGGGAGGCAGCAGUAGGGAAUCUUCCGCAAUGGGCGAAAGCUUGACGGAGCAACGCCGCGUGAGGGAUGAAGGUCUUCGGAUCGUAAAACUCUGUUAUUAGGGAAGAACAAAUGUGUAAGUAACUAUGCACGUCUUGACGGUACCUAGUCAGAAAGCCACGGCUAACUACGUG
rnacentral:rRNA from 1 species